UACGAAGGGGGCUAGCGUUGCUCGGAAUCACUGGGCGUAAAGGGUGCGUAGGCGGGUCUUUAAGUCAGGGGUGAAAUCCUGGAGCUCAACUCCAGAACUGCCUUUGAUACUGGCGAUCUCGAGUCCGGGAGAGGUGAGUGGAACUGCGAGUGUAGAGGUGAAAUUCGUAGAUAUUCGGAAGAACACCAGUGGCGAAGGCGGCUAACUGGCCCAUUACUGACGCUGAGGCUCGAAAGCGUGGGGAGCAAACAGG
rnacentral:rRNA from 1 species